rnacentral:rRNA from 1 species
AUUGAACGCUGGCGGCAUGCCUUACACAUGCAAGUCGAACGGCAGCACGGGUGCUUGCACCUGGUGGCGAGUGGCGAACGGGUGAGUAAUGCAUCGGAACGUACCCGGAAGUGGGGGAUAACGUAGCGAAAGUUACGCUAAUACCGCAUAUUCUGUGAGCAGGAAAGAGGGGGAUCGCAAGACCUCUCGCUUUCGGAGCGGCCGAUGUCGGAUUAGCUAGUUGGCGGGGUAAGAGCCCACCAAGGCGACGAGCCGUAGCGGGUCUGAGAGGAUGAUCCGCCACACUGGGACUGAGACACGGCCCAGACUCCUACGGGAGGCAGCAGUGGGGAAUUUUGGACAAUGGGCGCAAGCCUGAUCUAGCCAUGCCGCGUGAGUGAAGAAGGCCUUCGGGUUGUAAAGCUCUUUCGGCUGGGUAGAAAUCGCAUCUCCUAAUACGGGGUGUGGAUGACGGUACCAGCAUAAGAAGCACCGGCUAACUACGUGCCAGCAGCCGCAGUAAGAC